GUCUUUUUGAAUUAAUAAUUUAAAGUCUAAUCUGCCCACUGAUAAAAAAUUAAAGGGCUGCAGUAUUUUGACUGUACAAAGGUAGCAUAAUCAUUAGUCUCUUAAUUGGUGACUUGUAUGAAAGAUUUGAUGAAAUAUAUACUGUCUCUUUUUAAUUUAUAGAAUUUAAUUUUUUAGUUAAAAAGCUAAAAUAUAUUUAAAAGACGAGAAGACCCUAUAGAGUUUAAUAUUUAUUUAAUUUAUAUUAAAAUUUUUUAUAAAAUUUAUAAUUUUAAUAUAUGUAAAUAUUUUGUUGGGGUGAUAAAAAAAUUAAAAUAACUUUUUUUAUAAUUUUACAUUAAUAAAUGAGUAAAUGAUCCGUAAUUUACGAUUAAAAGAAAAAAUUACCUUAGGGAUAACAGCGUAAUUUUUUUUUUUAGUUCAAAUAAGAAAAAAAGUUUGCGACCUCGAUGUUGGAUUAAGAUAAAAUUUAAAUGCAAAAGUUUAAAAUUUUUGAUCUGUUCGAUCAUUAAAAUCUUACA
rnacentral:rRNA from 1 species